GGGCGUUGCAAGAAAGUUACGUUGCAAUUGAUUGCAAAUCGACUGCAACUUUGCAGCCGAUUCCGAUCGACUGCAACUAGCAAUCAAUCGCCAAUUUGCGUUGCAAGAAAAAGGCUUGCGAUUGAACGCAAGUUGCAGCUGAUUUGCAGCUGUAAACAGGGUCUGCAGCACAAGACUAGCUGAUGAAGCAAAAUAAUCCUUGCAAUAAUCGUGAUUGUGGAAGAGAUUAUGAUGACAAAGAAGUCUGGAAUAAACAAGAAACCUCAGAACCACCUUAACUGUGUCUGCUACAAUGUGUGUUCUUGCAACCAGCUGAUUGAUUCAUUUUAUCAACUCUUAAAUGGUUGAUUAUCAGAACUGAGUUCAGAGCUGCUCCUGUCUGUAGUAACAUUAUUGGAAGAGCUGAUUUCAGAAUGAGGGCGUUGCAGCUUUAAAAAAAUUUACUCCAUGGAGCUUUCCAAAUUCAUCUCAAAUUAGACUGCUUCAGGAAACCAGAUUUGUUCCUUCAAGCAGAGACGCUUGUGGCUUUCCUUACUGGACUUCUAUGGAUUCUUCAUGCCAACCCUAAGGACUGUGGUCUUCUGCAUGAGAUACGUCAAUUUCAAACAAGACAUUCGGUGGUGAAACACUUGAUGAAGAUGAUAUUAAAUUUUAUUUGGUAUAACUGAAUCUCAGAAGUAAUUCCUCGGGAGCAAGAAACAAUGAAAAAUAAAAAUAAAAGGUCCAUCAAUAAUGAAUGUCUUGAGCAGUGUUCUUUUUUGUGCACAGAUCAAUGGAUCUUUUUGGUUCCAAGCAGGGAUGUAGUCAAUGCUGACCUCGAGGCAACAUUUUUACUGGCCUUGGUCCGAGUCACUGUACAGAAUCUUUGGGAAGUUCUCUCAAGCUGCCUCAUGACUCUGAAGAAUCAGCCUCGACCUCAUCCCUGUAUGCAAGUGUGAUAUAUAUCUGCGAUGCAAUCUCAUGAUUAAAGAGGAGAAACAAGAGAGCUUCAGAUUUUUAAGUGUAGCAAUCUCCUGAAAUGUAUGUUUAAUUUGAAAUCAAACUAAAAGAACUUAAUUGGGCAUGUUAUUCAUUAUGAUAUGUAUGAAUGAAAGCAUUAAAGCAAUUUGGUGCUCUUGCAAAAAAAAAAUUCUGAGUUGUAUUUACUGCAAACCCUCAGAAAUAUUGGUAAACAUUUGCCAGUGCAUGAAGUGUUUUAAUAAAGAGUGGCUUUUGUGCCUAUGGAGAGUUAUUUCUACAUACAAAUUAUUUCAGAUAUCACAAUUUGAAUUUUCAUGACCUCUGAUAACGAGAGCAGAAUAUUUUUGGUGAUUGACACACUUUAAAAUGAUAUUAGGAGAGAAUGUAGUGAAGUUUUGUGAAAAUAAUGGCAUUAUUGCUGUAUAGAGGCCUAUGAAGGUUGAAAAUAACCUUAUUUCAAGUUUUUCUUGAAAAAAAACCUAUGGGAAAUUGAAACUGGUAUAAUUUACACAAGUUUUC